rnacentral:misc_RNA from 1 species
UCUUGCCAUGAAUAUUUUAGGAGCCACAAAUGAUCAGAUAUUCUCUGGUGGACUGCUUUGCCCAUUAAUUCUGAUUCUAGGAACGUGAGUUAUGUCACCCCAAUAAACUUCAGCUGGGGACGACAUCCUUCAAUUUCCAAGUGUUGUAAAGAGGAGAGGUGAUGCAUCCCUUUAGUCAGUGAUGCAAAUCUUGGGCAACGCCAAAUGAUUAUUUCUUGAACAGAAGUGAAGUUCUGCAGCCACUCUUCUGGCAAAGAUUGGAGUUCUUCCAGCUCAAUAUGGAAAGGGGUGGA